AAAAAGUCCUCCGGCCGUCGGGCCGGAGUCUGGUCACCGCCGUCGAUCGAAGCAGCGAGCUCAGGGACUACCGAGGGAAGGAUCGGUGUCCCAUCCUCGGACCGUCAGGGAUGGCACUGGCAGAGGGUACAAGCUUUGGUAACCCGGCCGAGGUCGAGGGAGGUAAGCUCACGAGGGGAGUAAGCGAAUCCAUUAAUUGGGCUGAGUAACGAUUCUCGCUAAACGUGUGGGAGAAAGAACCGGAGAACUCCGACGGCUGGUUUCCUGGAAGGUUCGCAUUUGUUUUCUAAUGGAUUUUAUAUGUCUUUAUUCCGUGUUUCUGUUUAUCCUUUUUAAUGCUAUGCGGAAUUCUUGGCGGA
rnacentral:lncRNA from 1 species